CUGAGACACAGUGUAUAGCUCUUAACCUGAAGGCUGAGGCAUACUUAAUCCUCCUUUGUCCUAGAAGUCCCGAAUAGACCAAUCAAUAAAGAGGCUUCCUUGUUCCUGACAAUGCAGAGAUGGUUAAAGGAAGAAGAUUCCAUCAAACUCAAAAUUUUCAGAAUACUUGGAAGACAACUGAGUGCUGUUUCAUGUCUCUCAUGCAGUUUGAAAGUGUUUUCUUAAAAACACACACAAAGUGUGAUUGAAUUAUUUCUAUUCUGUUCUUGAGUCUUUCUUACCCACCCUCCAUUUCCUCACCCACACUCUUACUUGUUAAGUCAUCUAAUUUGCAGAUUUUGCUUGUCUUUCAUUUUUAUUUCUGCUUCACAAAUUCCAAAUAUUCAAACCUCUUAAAGGGAAAAAAAAAAUCACAAACACAUACCUACACAAUCUCUUUGUCAAAAUAGGGCUGAUAUACAGGCUUCCUCUAUGACAUCCUCCAUACAUCUCUGUUUGAUAAGAAGAAACACAUUUUCUUUUGAGUCAACAGUUAUUUGAAACUUUCAGAGGAGGUUUUCAUAUUUAACUCUUUUUUCUGCUUUUGAGUAACUUUUGUCUACUUUGCACUAAGGUACUCUGAGGGAGAACAGAAAAGCACAUUUUUUUUAGUGAACUACUGUACUUUGUAAGUGAGUUGUCUGUCUUUUGUAACGUUUAUAGUCUACAAAACAGUAGAACAGACAUGAGCAAAGAUUAAAGCAAAAGUGGUUUGGGUGUUUUGACCACACUUGGUGGGAACAGGAUGAGGAGAAAGAGAGAACAGGUGGCAUAAACUUGGUAACAACUGAUGACUUUCCCACAGAAGGGUUGCUGCUUCCAGAGAGCCUCACUGGUGGCAGCUCUUCCCACUUUCCUGGCUUUUAAUUCUGGAAUCUCUUUAGUGCAUUUGGAUCUUCACUUUACCCAUUAGGGAAAGAGGCAAUAUCAUGGGGUUUGCAUGAGGGAUUCUUUACUUAACUUGGCACAAUAUUUUUGUCUCUUCCCAGUACAACAACCACAUUUUUUUUUCUAGAUUAGUAUUUCAUUGGGAUUUUUCUAGGAUGCUUUAGAGCUAUCACCACAAUGAUCUAAUCUGCCCAGAUUGAACAGUUAGAGGAACUAUGAGGAAGCUCCUUAGGCCCACUACCCUGAAUCAGCAUUCCCCAUGGGUAGAAGCCCCGAGGGACCUGAAAUCAGCCUUGGGAUCUUCCUCUCCCCCUUAUUGGUCCAGCCAUGCAUGGACAUGGCAGAAUGAUGAUGAGAUGUGCUACUCCCCAUACCUGACAGUGAAUACUUUCAGGGACCUAUCACCCAACACUAUCUGGGAACACUGCUUUCUUCAAUCAUCCCCAGUUAUACAGGGGAACUUUUGCAAAAACAGCAGGACAAAUUAAGAGGGCUGUCUUAGGUCACAAUCAAAGGUGAAGCUAGUUGUUUUAGUGAUUAAAUCCUAGUCUUAAUUUUCCUCAACAUCAUAUUCUUCCAUGCCUCCAAUGCCAGAAGUAGCCUCAGGGGACACGAAAACCAGAUGAAAUAGACUGUUGUAUUGCCCUGCAGACUCUUUGGAAAGCCUCCCCAUAGAUAGAAUUUUCAGUAAACCUUAAGGAAUAGUAUUAAUGAGCUUCUGCCUAGUCAGACAUCCUAAUUAUAGCCAACAUAAUCCCCCAGUCUUCACAGGAAUUAUAGUCUCUUCUCUCUGAAUGGCAGUGUCAAUCUGUGUAACCUUGCCCUGCCUUAAAUACUAAUGCAAAAAUACCAAACCUUGCUUACAACAGUGUGCUUAUAAGGCAAGAGGGACUUUGUAUUUAGUGAGGUCCAACAUCAAGAAUGCUUUCCUUCUGAAUCUGGUAGUUGACAGGUCUCCUGAUAUGCUGUGCCACUUUGGGCUGUCACUCCCCUCAAUCUACUGGAGGUGUCACUGGAAAUUGGAAUGCAGGCUGAGGAGGAACCACAGAUAAGUCUCCAGGAUAUGCUAGGUA
rnacentral:lncRNA from 1 species